GAAAAGUGUAGGUCGUAAAAAGAUUUCUAAUCUUUUAUACAAGCAGUUCGAUUCUGUUUACUUUUUU
rnacentral:tRNA from 1 species